rnacentral:rRNA from 1 species
UACGAAGGGGGCUAGCGUUGCUCGGAAUUACUGGGCGUAAAGGGCGCGUAGGCGGCACUGUUAGUCAGGCGUGAAAGUCCUGGGCUUAACCUGGGAACUGCGCUUGAUACGGCAGAGCUAGAGGAUGGAAGAGGGUCGCGGAAUUCCCAGUGUAGAGGUGAAAUUCGUAGAUAUUGGGAAGAACACCGGUGGCGAAGGCGGCGACCUGGUCCAUUACUGACGCUGAGGCGCGACAGCGUGGGGAGCAAACAGG